GACGAACGCUGGCGGCGUGCCUAAUACAUGCAAGUAGAACGCAGUUGCGAACGGGUGAGUAACGCGUAGGUAACUGCCUCAUAGCGGGGGGAAACUAUUGGAAACGAUAGCUAAUACCGCAUACUGUGAGAUGUACCUGCGUUGUAUUAGCUAGUUGGUGAGGUAAAGGCUCACCAAGGCGACGAUACAUAGCCGACCUGAGAGGAGUAGCGUGCACAACGGGACUGUGAAAAGGCCCAGAGUCCGACGGGAGGAAGCAGAUGGGAAUCUUCGGCAAGGGACGGAAGUCUGACCGAGCAACGCGGCGUGAGUGAAGAAGGUUUUCGGAUCGUAAAGCUCUGUUGUGAGAGAAGCGGUAACUAACAAGAAAGGGACGGCUAACUACGUGCCAGCAGCCGCGGUAAUUC
rnacentral:rRNA from 1 species